AUUGAACGCUGGCGGCAGGCCUAACACAUGCAAGUCGAGCGGAUGAAGGGAGCUUGCUCCUGGAGUCAGCGGCGGACGGGUGAGUAAUGCCUAGGAAUCUGCCUGGUAGUGGGUGAUAACGACCGGAAACAGGCGCUAAUACCACAUCCGUCCUGAGGGUGCAAGAGGGGGGUCUUCGGACCGCACGCGCGCUGAUGAGCCUAGGUCGGAUUAGCUAGUUGGUGGGCGAAAGGCCUGCCAAGGCGACGAUCCGUAACUGGUCUGAGAGGGUGAUCAGUCACACUGGAACUGAGACACCGUCAAGACUCCUACGAGAGGCAGCAGAGUGGAAUAGUGGACAAUAGGCGAAAGCAUGGCACAGUCAUGCGGCGCGUGAGGCGAAAGUGCUCGGAUUGUAAAGCACUCUAAGUUGGGGUAAAGCGCAGUAAGUUAAUACCAUGCUGUUUUGACGGUACCAACAGAAUAAGCACCGGCUAACUUCGUA
rnacentral:rRNA from 1 species